GUCGAGCGGUAAGGCUCCUUCGGGAGUACACGAGCGGCGAACGGGUGAGUAACACGUGAGCAAUCUGCCCUUCACAUUGGAAUAACUUCGGGAAACCGAAGCUAAUGCCGAAUACGACCAUCGAUGGCAUCUUCGAUGGUGGAAAGUUCCGGCGGUGAAGGAUGAGCUCGCGGCCUAUCAGCUUGUUGGUGAGGUAAUGGCCCACCAAGGCGACGACGGGUAGCCGGCCUGAGAGGGUGACCGGCCACACUGGGACUGAGACACGGCCCAGACUCCUACGGGAGGCAGCAGUGGGGAAUAUUGGACAAUGGGCGAAAGCCUGAUCCAGCAACGCCGCGUGAGGGAUGACGGCCUUCGGGUUGUAAACCUCUUUCAGCAGGGACGAAGCGAAAGUGACGGUACCUGCAGAAGAAGCACCGGCCAACUACGUGCCNNNANNNGCG
rnacentral:rRNA from 1 species